rnacentral:rRNA from 1 species
GAUGAACGCUAGCGGCAGGCCUAAUACAUGCAAGUCGAACGGUAACAUGAGUAGCAAUACUUGAUGACGAGUGGCGCACGGGUGCGUAACGCGUAUGCAAUCUACCUUUAACCGGUGAAUAGCCCGAAGAAAUUCGGAUUAAUACACCAUAGUAUGUUUGAGUGGCAUCACUUAAACAUUAAAGUUCCGACAGUUAAAGAUGAGCAUGCGUGACAUUAGCUAGUUGGUAAGGUAACGGCUUACCAAGGCAACGAUGUCUAGGGGAUCUGAGAGGAUUAACCCCCACACUGGUACUGAGGCAGGGACCAGACUCCUACGGGAGGCAGCAGUAAGGAAUAUUGGACAAUGGUGGCAACACUGAUCCAGCCAUGCCGCGUGAAGGAUGAAGGCCCUAUGGGUUGUAAACUUCUUUUGUACGGGAAAAAACCUUCUUACAUGUAAGAAGCUGAUUGUACGGUAAGAAUAAGGAUCGGCUAACUCCGUGCCAGCCGCCGCCGUAA